UACGUAGGGGGCGAGCGUUGUCCGGAUUUAUUAGGCGUAAAGAGCUCGUAGGCGGUUCGAUAAGUCGGACGUGAAAUCUCCACGCUCAACGUGGAGGGGCCGUUCGAUACUGUCGUGACUCGAGUCCGGUAGGGGAGUGUGGAAUUCCCGGUGUAGCGGUGAAAUGCGCAGAGAUCGGGAGGAACACCCGUAGCGAAGGCGGCACUCUGGGCCGGUACUGACGCUGAGGAGCGAAAGCUAGGGUAGCAAACGGG
rnacentral:rRNA from 1 species